GAAUGCAUAGACUUCCUCCGCUGGGUCCCUGCCCUGCACAACCUGCCUCACCCACCUGUAGGCUUUGGGAGACCCAAGAGGGAUCAGUCUUGCCCUCCAGGAGCCCUCAGGCUGUGGGCAGAAGCUCCAGGGGCUUGGCUGGGAUCCCAAGCUAAUGGAAACUCUGCGGUCCAGGGAGGCUUCAGGAAGGCUAAAAGAGGAACCAGGUCCAGAGCUGGAGGACCAGUCCUGUAAGCCUGGGAGAGAGCACCGCCUCUACCCUGAGGUGGGCCCCUGGCUCAGAGCUCUCCCACCCAGCCCAGCCUGGGAACUCAUGUGAACCCUCCCCAGGGCCUGGGGUAUCUCUGCCCCAACCAACUGGGACCAGGAAAAGCCCCAAGA